rnacentral:lncRNA from 10 species
UUGGAGUGCGAUGGCACGAUCUUGGCUCACUGCAGGCUCUCCCUCUCGGGUUCACACCAUUCUCCUGCCUCAGCCUCCUGAGUAGCUGGGACUACAGGUGCCCGCCACCAUGCCUGGCUAAUUUUUUGUAUUUUUAGUAGAGACGGGGUUUCACCAUGUUAGCCAGGAUGGUCUCGAUAUCCUGACCUUUUGUCAGGUAGACUCUAAUUUCUGCCUUAUGUGGAUAUAUUUAGAGAUACACAGGGUGAUCACAAAAUCUCUAUAUGCCUUAGCUAAAAAAUGAUAAGCACUGUUCUAUAUAAAAGCACAUGGGCCCCAUUUUUACCCACCACCAAGCUGCUAGAGGAGCCCUCACUGGGAGUAAACUCAUGGAAAUGGGAGCAGGAGUGUGGGUCCUCCAUGGCCCAUUGCAGUCGGCUGGAGUGCCGUGGCGCGAUCUCAGCUCACCGCAACCUCCGACUCCUGGGUUCCAGUGAUUCUCCUGCCUCAGCCUCCCGAGUAGCUGGGAUUACAGGCAUGUGCCACAACACCUGGCUAAUUUUUUUUGGUAUUUUUAGUGGAAACGGGGUUUUGCCAUGUUGGCCAGGCUAAUCUCAAACUCCUGACCUCAGGUGAUACAACUGCUUGGCCUCCCAAAGUGCUGGGAUUACAGGCGUGAGCCACCGUGCCUGGUCUAUAUUUGUUUCUUUCGUAUUGCUGCAUGUAUGGCAAUGAUGCCUACACUUUGUACAUAGUAAGUAUUCAAGCAAUUUUGCCGGGCUGUCAGGAUAAAUGUAGAUGUUGCUACAAAGACAGGAUCAUUUCUGAUUUGAAGGUAACAUAACCGGGAGAGAGUUCCAGCUCAUGAAUUUGCCUGAACUGGAAGCUUCCCCUGGGAUUAUUGCCCUGGUGAAACAGAGUCCUUGUCUGCAUUUUUUUCAGUGUCCUCAGUGGCAUAAUUUGCCAAUUUGAUUUAAAUAUUGGUAGCCAAAGAAGGCAAAGGUAUUAUUAUAAAAGAAGGUGGUCAAUGGAACCAUGGUGUUUUCUGGACAAAGCAAAGACACUACAUUUUUUGUCCAGAAGUAGGUAAAGGUUAUAUUAAGUGAUGAUAUCUGAUUACUCAAGUGAAGAUUAUUUGACCAUGCUUUGGAAGCCUGAUAUGAUUUGGCUCUGUCCCCACCCAAAUCCCAUUUUGAAUCGUAAUCCCCACAUGUUGGAGGAGGGGCCUGGUGGGAGGUGAUUGGAUCAUGGGAACAGAUUUCCUCCUUGCUGUUCUCAUGAUAGUGAGUAGUUCUCAAGAGAUCUGUUGGUUUUAAAGUGUUGCACUUCUCCCCUCGCUCUCCCUCUCUCUCCUGCUCCACCACGAUAAGAUGUGCCUGGCUUCCCCUUUGCUUUCUGCCCUGAUUGUAAGUUUCCUGAGGCUUCCCAAUCAUGCUUCCUGUUAAGCCCGUGGAUCUAUGAUUCAGUUAAACCUCUUUUCUUCGUAAAUUACCCAGUCUCAUGUAGUUCUUUAUAGCAA